GUGCUUGCUUCAGCAGCACAUAUACUAAAAUUGAAACAAUACAGAGAAGAUUAGCAUGGCCCAUGCACAAGGAUGACAUGCAAAUUCAUGAAGUUUUCCAUACUUUU